CGCUCCUGGGCGGUGAGCGCGGCCUCUGCGUGUUGUAGCGGAGCGUUCGGAGAUGGAGGGGGGACCGGUGUUUGACGGCUGAGAAGGUCACGCUCGCUUUGUGUUAUCAUCUUGAUGCUGUUCGUUUAAAAUGACCCUGUGACUAAAACAGCGUGAAAAGCGAUGCUGGGUUUCCAGCAUGUAUGGCUCAGAGGAUGUUGACACACAGAAGCACAGUUUUAGUUCCAACCAGUUUGGAAAUUACAUUUUUUUCUUACCUUUUUUUUAUUAUUAUUGAGGUGUAAGACACGAGUGAAGUCAUCAAGCGCAUAAAUCUUCAUUGUACAGCUCAGUGAAUUUUUAUGGGUUUGUGAACUUGGGUCACCACCAGCUUGAUGAAGUGACCCCUGCAUUUGUAUAUAGAACAUUUCUGUCACCCCAGGAAUUUCCCUCUGCUUCUUCCAGUACUGGCGAAUAUAAAUCAACUCUUCCCUCCCUGGUCUCCAUUUCUUCAUCUGUGCAGUGGGGGAAGUAUACCUUUUCAGAAAGCUUUUGGAAAGAUGCGGCACAAAUUGAGGGUUUCUGGCUGUCUUAACAGUUUCUUUUCCCCAACCUCUUCCCCUUGCAACUCACCAUAAAUGCCAGAUUUCCCAUUCCUACUUUAUAAUAGUAGAAUGGAACCAAAAUAUUGUCCAACUGUCCAAAGGAAGAAACAAGGAAAUUUCUCUGAGUAGAAGUAUUUGAGUUUAUGAAUAGAAAAGACUGAUACAUUCUGAUGAAAUUUAUGAACUUCAUGGAUAAAUGUACAAUCUCAUAAGCUUCCAAAGAGAAGCAUAUGGUUACCUAUAAAGGGAUGGAAAUCAGACUUGCAAUUAGACUUUUAAUCUGGACAUGGACUGUUAGAUGACAGUGGAGCAGUUAUCUAACUAAAAUGUGCUCAUCGGACAUAUUUUGAACUCUGAAUCUUAUCUCUAAACUGUCAUUCAGAGCAGAAGCAAAAUAAGUCAUUUUCAGCCAGACCCCAGGAAUGCCCCAAUAUGUUUACAUCAAAUAAAAAAUAAUCUAAGAGAAACAGAGAUGGAGUUCAAGAAAUAGUGAUCAAAGAAAACAGUAAAACAUUUCUCAACUCUAAGGUAUUGACAACCAUAGCUAAGAAAUAUGCAAUACUAAGGAAGGAUUCAUAAAACAGAGUAGGUAUAAUAAGUCUAUAAUUUGGAACAAACAUUCAACCUGGUUUUUUUAAAGUUGGUUGUGAAGUGGGAAAUAGGUAAAGGCAUUUUGGAAGACUUAUCCUGAGCAGGGAGAAGCUAUAGAUACUGACUAAUUACAUGUUAGAAUAAACUCUUUAAGGAAAUAGAACUCAGCAGUUCCAUCUCCAGGGAUUCAUCCUAUAGAUGAAAUAAUACGUGUGGAGAGUCAUGUAUAUAUAAGGCUAUUUAUACUGAAAUGUGUAAUCGUGGCAAUAGAUUUGGAAGGAUACACAAAAACUGGAAAGAGGAGAACUGUGCCUCUGAGAUAGAAGGGAGAGGUUUCAUUGUAUGCCUUAUAUCAUGUGUAACAUUUUAAUCACAUGUAUUUAUUUGGGGAAAAUAUAAAAAAUUGGGGGAAGUGUAAAAAAUGUAAAACUUUAGAGCACGGGUUGCCAAACCUAGCUGGCCACUUAUUUUAAUCUGACCUGUUACCUAAGAGUGGUUUUUACAUUUUAAGUGCUU